rnacentral:lncRNA from 1 species
UGAGAAGAGACUGUUGAGUUCCUAGCCGCGUAAGAUCGCUCUGUCAUCCCCUUUCAAGGCUGAAGGACUAUCACGGAAAAGAGGGUGGAAAGAACAGAAGAGCUAGAGGAAGAAGCUGUAUUCUGAGUAUGCUGUGUCGACAUCAUCGAGUGGGGAGUGACUGGAAUGAAGCUCCCCAUGACAGGGAAGGAAGCCAUACUAUAAAGGCUCCCACAGCACAGAAGGAAAGAACGGAAAGUUCUGGGGCCAUCAGGAUCUCCCUUCUCUUCCAGAUCAGUUACCAGUUACCCUCAGGCAACAUACUUGUGCUAAAGGAAAGCCAUGAAGAAAAGCAGCCUUCCUUAGAGAAGAAUCAGUUUUCUCUGAUGUGACUGGGAACUGCUCCUUAAUGGACGUGCCUACCCCACUGCAUAUGCUGUGACUCACCUCUCCCUGAGGAUUGUUCCCUACUGGGCAUGUUCCCAUCCAGCCCUCCAGGCUGGCUUUGCAUUGGUUUUCCCCACAGGUGUUCUCUUGCACUGUUAACUGCUGGCUGUUUCCCCUAU